rnacentral:rRNA from 1 species
UACGGAGGGUGCGAGCGUUGUCCGGAAUCAUUGGGCGUAAAGGGCGCGUAGGUGGCCCGGUCAGUUCGUGGUGAAAGCGCGGGGCUCAACCCUGCGUCGGCCAUGAAUACUGCCGCGGCUGGAGCACUGUAGAGGCAGGCGGAAUUCCGGGUGUAGCGGUGGAAUGCGUAGAGAUCCGGAAGAACACCGGUGGCGAAGGCGGCCUGCUGGGCCAGUUGCUGGACACUGAGGCGCGACAG